GAAACGGUAGCUAAUACCGCAUAACGUCGCAAGACCAAAGAGGGGGACCUUCGGGCCUCUUGCCAUCGGAUGUGCCCAGAUGGGAUUAGCUAGUAGGUGGGGUAAAGGCUCACCUAGGCGACGAUCCCUAGCUGGUCUGAGAGGAUGACCAGCCACACUGGAACUGAGACACGGUCCAGACUCCUACGGGAGGCAGCAGUGGGGAAUAUUGCACAAUGGGCGCAAGCCUGAUGCAGCCAUGCCGCGUGUAUGAAGAAGGCCUUCGGGUUGUAAAGUACUUUCAGCGGGGAGGAAGGGAGUAAAGUUAAUACCUUUGCUCAUUGACGUUACCCGCAGAAGAAGCACCGGCUAACUCCGUGCCAGCAGCCGCGGUAAUACGGAGGGUGCAAGCGUUAAUCGGAAUUACUGGGCGUAAAGCGCACGCAGGCGGUUUGUUAAGUCAGAUGUGAAAUCCCCGGGCUCAACCUGGGAACUGCAUCUGAUACUGGCAAGCUUGAGUCUCGUAGAGGGGGGUAGAAUUCCAGGUGUAGCGGUGAAAUGCGUAGAGAUCUGGAGGAAUAC
rnacentral:rRNA from 1 species